rnacentral:rRNA from 1 species
GAUGAACGCUGGCGGCGUGCCUAAUACAUGCAAGUCGAGCGAACAAAGGUGGUGCUUGUUCCUAUUGGGUUAGCAGCGAAUGGGUGAGUAACGCGUGGGGAAUCUACCUUUGAGACGGGGAUAACAUCUGGAAACCAAAGCUAAUACCGCAUAAAAAAUUUAAACACAUGGUUCAAUAUUGAAAGACGGUAUUGCUUUCACUUAUAGUGGUAUCCGCUUUGAAUUACCUAGUUGGGAAGGUAAAGGCUUACCAAGGCGAUGAUCCAUAGCCGACCUGAGAGGGUGAUCGGCCACAUUGGGACUGAGACACGGCCCAAACUCCUACGGGAGGCAGCAGUAGGGAAUCUUCGGCAAUGGACGAAAGUCUGACCGAACAACGCCGCGUGAGUGAAGAAGGUUUUCGGAUCGGAAAACUCUUUUGGUAGGGAAGAACGUUGGUGAGAGGGGAAAGCGCAUCAAGUGACGGUAACUACCCAGAAAGAGACGGCUAACUACGUG